UACGUAGGGGGCAAGCGUUGUCCGGAUUUAUUGGGCGUAAAGAGCGUGUAGGCGGCCAGGUAGGUCUGCUGUGAAAACUCGAGGCUUAACCUCGAGAUGUCGGCGGAAACUAUCUGGCUAGAGUCCGGAAGAGGAGAGCGGAAUUCCUGGUGUAGCGGUGAAAUGCGCAGAUAUCAGGAAGAACACCCGUGGCGAAAGCGGCUCUCUGGAACGGUACUGACGCUGAGACGCGAAAGCGUGGGGAGCGAACAGG
rnacentral:rRNA from 1 species